rnacentral:lncRNA from 1 species
AUAAUAUAGGAAGUGUUGAUCUUUUCAGUGUUUUAAUCUAAUACCUUUGUGAAGUGAACCGCUGGACUUUGCAAAAGAGAAAUAAUUCACAUUCUAAAAUAUUAAAGGCUUAUGAGUAUUAUAGAUUGUGUUCAUGUUAUAUUAUCUUUGAUGAAUGACAAGUUUGUUUAUUAUUGCUGCAUUUAUUUCCAUUUUUUAAACUAAAAAUGAAAAAAAAAAACCUAUUGGAACCUAGAACCGAC